CAGUCGCCACGGUAAUACGUAGGGUGCGAGCGUUAAUCGGAAUUACUGGGCGUAAAGCGUGCGCAGGCGGUUGUGUAAGACAGGUGUGAAAUCCCCGGGCCUAACCUGGGAACUGCGCUUGUGACUGCACAGCUAGAGUAUGGCAGAGGGGGGUGGAAUUCCACGUGUAGCAGUGAAAUGCGUAGAGAUGUGGAGGAACACCGAUGGCGAAGGCAGCCCCCUGGGCCAAUACUGACGCUCAUGCACGAAAGCGUGGGGAGCAAACAGGAUUAGAUACCCGGGUAGUCCCUGUCUCUUAUAC
rnacentral:rRNA from 1 species